UGUGGUCAUGAGUGCCUGAGAGAUGUUAAGUGAAUGGCAAUGAAUAUAUAAAACAUCACGUAAGAAAUCAUGCACUCUGAUGAAAUGAAGGAACUAAAUGGAGGAUAUUCCAAGUUGAGUGUUAAAGAAAAGAGAAAGCAUCUUGGCAGACACCUUUGGGAGGAUUUUGUAGAAAAUUCAUCAUUACAUGGCCUACAUUACGUGUUUAAAAAACGUCCAGGAUUACAACGCUUUAUUUGGCUUAUUCUGCUCGGUUUUAUGUUUUCUUUAUUCAUAUGGCAAACUUCAACAAUUGCUCUGAAAUAUUUGGAAUUUGAUGUGACCAGUUCCAUUGAAUUGGUAACUGAAGAAGAAGUAAAAUUUCCAGCCAUUACAUUUUGUAACUUCAACAAAUACAGAAAAAGUUUUAUUAAAGACACAGACUUUUACAAAGUAAUUGAAAAGCAUACCGUCUUUAUGAAAACGAGAACAACAGUGUCGAUUGGACAAAAUACCCCAAAGUAAAUGAUUUGAAUAUGACAACAUUCAUUUAUGAAGUAGGCCAUCAAAUGGACUAUGACGAUAAAACUAAGAAAGGAAUGCUUUAUUAUUGCACAUGGAAAGGAGAAAUAUGCGAUAAAACAUAUUUUAAACCGACGUUCACAGACAUGGGUCUUUGUCACACGUUUACUCCAGAGAAAAGCAACAACAAUAACGUAGCAGCUC